UUUCCGUAGGUGAACCUGCGGAAAGAUCAUUAAAGUUAUAGUCCCCCGGCCCCUCCGGGCUGGGGUCUUCUAUACCACCCUUUGUUUAUUACACCUUUGUUGCUUUGGCAGGCCUGCCCUCGGGCUGCUGGCUCCGGCCGGCUCGUGCCUGCCAGAGGACCUAAACUCUGUUUGUAUAUGAAGUCUGAGUACUAUACAAUAGUUAAAACUUUCAACGACGGAUCUCUUGGUUCUG
rnacentral:misc_RNA from 1 species